GAUGAACGCUGGCGGCGUGCCUAACACAUGCAAGUCGUACGAGCUCGAUCUUCGGAACGGGUUAGUGGCGCACGGUGAGUAACACGUAGGUGACCUACCCCAGAGUGGGGAUAACUUCUCGAAAGAGAGGCUAAUACCGCAUACACUCGGUCAUUCAUUUGGCCGAGCAAAGCUCUGGCGCUUUGGGACGGGCCUGCGUCCGAUUAGCUAGUUGGUAGGGUAAUGGCUUACCAAGGCUUUGAUCGGUAGCUGGUCUGAGAGGACGAUCAGCCACACUGGCACUGACACACGGGCCAGACUCCUACGGGAGGCAGCAGUGAGGAAUAUUGGGCAAUGGGCGAAAGCCUGACCCAGCAACGCCGCGUGAGGGAUGAAGGCCUUCGGUUGUAAACCUCUUUCUGGGAGAAGAGACAAGACGGUAUCCCACGGAAUAAAGUCUCGGCUAACUAACGUGCCAGCAGCCGCGGUAA
rnacentral:rRNA from 1 species